rnacentral:rRNA from 1 species
UACCAAGGUGAUGAUACGUAGCCGAACUGAGAGGUUGAUCGGCCACAUUGGGACUGAGACACGGCCCAAACUCCUACGGGAGGCAGCAGUAGGGAAUCUUCCACAAUGGACGAAAGUCUGAUGGAGCAACGCCGCGUGAAUGAAGAAGGCCUUCGGGUCGUAAAAUUCUGUUGUCAGAGAAGAAUGUGCGUGAGAGUAACUGUUCACGUAUUGACGGUAUCUGACCAGAAAGCCACGGCUAACUACGUGCCAGCAGCCGCGGUAAUACGUAGGUGGCAAGCGUUGUCCGGAUUUAUUGGGCGUAAAGGGAACGCAGGCGGUCUUUUAAGUCUGAUGUGAAAGCCUUCGGCUUAACCGAAGUAGUGCAUUGGAAACUGGAAGACUUGAGUGCAGAAGAGGAGAGUGGAACUCCAUGUGUAGCGGUGAAAUGCGUAGAUAUAUGGAAGAACACCAGUGGCGAAAGCGGCUCUCUGGUCUGUAACUGACGCUGAGGUUCGAAAGCGUGGGUAGCAAACAGGAUUAGAUACCCUGGUAGUCCACGCCGUAAACGAUGAGUGCUAAGUGUUGGAGGGCUUCCGCCCUUCAGUGCUGCAGCUAACGCAUUAAGCACUCCGCCUGGGGAGUACGGUCGCAAGACUGAAACUCAAAGGAAUUGACGGGGGCCCGCACAAGCGGUGGAGCAUGUGGUUUAAUUCGAAGCAACGCGAAGAACCUUACCAGGUCUUGACAUCUUCUGACAAUUCCAGAGAUGGAACGUUCCCUUCGGGGACAGAAUGACAGGUGGUGCAUGGUUGUCGUCAGCUCGUGUCGUGAGAUGUUGGGUUAAGUCCCGCAACGAGCGCAACCCUUAUUGUCAGUUGCCAUCAUUAAGUUGGGCACUCUGGCGAGACUCCGGUGACAAACCGGAGGAAGGUGGGGAUGACGUCAAAUCAUCAUGCCCCUUAUGACCUGGGCUACACACGUGCUACAAUGGACGGUACAACGAGUCGCUAACUCGCGAGGGCAAGCUAAUCUCUUAAAGCCGUUCUCAGUUCGGAUUGCAGGCUGCAACUCGCCUGCAUGAAGUCGGAAUCGCUAGUAAUCGCGAAUCAGCAUGUCGCGGUGAAUACGUUCCCGGGCCUUGUACACACCGCCCGUCACACCAUGAGAGUUUGUAACACCCAAAGUCGGUGGGGUAACCUUUUGGAGCCAGCCGCCUAAGGUGGGACAGAUGAUUGGGGUGAAGUCGGAACAAGGUA